CUACGGGAUGCUGCAGUGGGGAAUAUUGGACAAUGGGGGAAACCCUGAUCCAGCAAUGCCGCGUGUGUGAAGAAGGCCUGCGGGUUGUAAAGCACUUUCGGUUGGGAGGACUGCUUCUAGCACUAAUAUUGUUGGAAGUUGACGUUACCUUCAGAAGAAGCACCGGCUAUCUCCGUGCCAGCAGCCGCGGUGAAUACGGAGGGGUGCAAGCGUUAAUCGGAAUUACUGGGCGUAAAGCGCGCGUAGGCGGCUAGAUCAGUCGGGUGUGAAAGCCCCGGGCUUAACCUGGGAACUGCAUCCGAUACUGUCUAGCUUGAGUACAGGAGAGGAGAGUGGAAUUCCACAUGUAGCGGUGAAAUGCGUAGAUAUGUGGAGGAACACCAAUGGCGAAGGCAGCUCUCUGGCCUGAUACUGACGCUGAGGUGCGAAAGCGUGGGGAGCAAACAGGAUUAGAUACCCGAGUAGUC
rnacentral:rRNA from 1 species